rnacentral:rRNA from 1 species
CCUACGGGUGGCAGCAGUGAGGAAUAUUGGUCAAUGGACGCAAGCCUGAACCAGCCAUGCCGCGUGAAGGAAGACGGCCCUACGAGUUGUAAACUGCUUUUGUACGAGGGUAAACGCAGACACGCGUGCCUGUCUGAAAGUACCUUACGAAUAAGGAUCGGCUAACUCCGUGCCAGCAGCCGCGGUAAUACGGAGGAUUCAAGCGUUAUCCGGAUUUAUUGGGUUUAAAGGGUGCGUAGGCGGGCGGGUAAGUCAGAGGUGAAAUCCCGAGGCUCAACCUUGGAAUUGCCUUUGAUACUGGUCGUCUAGAGAGUAGUUGAGGUAGGCGGAAUGUGUGGUGUAGCGGUGAAAUGCUUAGAGAUCACGCAGAACACCGAUUGCGAAGGCAGCUUACCAGGCUACUACUGACGUUGAUGCACGAAAGCGUGGGGAUCAAACAGGAUUAGAUACCCCUGUAGUC